rnacentral:rRNA from 1 species
CAAAUGAAUUGACGGGGCCGCACAAGCGGUGGAGUAUGUGGUUUAAUUCGAAGCAACGCGAAGAACCUUACCAGGUCUUGACAUACCGGGCAAAGCCCUAGAGAUAGGGAAAUAGUUAUGCCGGAUACAGGUGGUGCAUGGUUGUCGUCAGCUCGUGUCGUGAGAUGUUGGGUUAAGUCCCGCAACGAGCGCAACCCUUGUCCUCAGUUACCAGCAUUGAGUUGGGGACUCUGGAGAGACUGCCGGUGACAAACCGGAGGAAGGUGGGGAUGACGUCAAAUCAUCAUGCCCCUUAUGACCUGGGCUACACACGUACUACAAUGGCGUAUACAACGGGAAGCGAAGUGGUGACACGGAGCAAAUCUCACAAAGUACGUCUCAGUUCAGAUUGAAGUCUGCAACUCGACUUCAUGAAGUCGGAAUCGCUAGUAAUCGCGGAUCAGCAUGCCGCCGGUUGAACCUACGUUCUCGGCCUU